rnacentral:rRNA from 1 species
GAUGAACGCUGGCGGCGUGCCUAAUACAUGCAAGUCGAGCGAACGGACGAGAAGCUUGCUUCUCUGAUGUUAGCGGCGGACGGGUGAGUAACACGUGGAUAACCUACCUAUAAGACUGGGAUAACUUCGGGAAACCGGAGCUAAUACCGGAUAAUAUUUUGAACCGCAUGGUUCAAAAGUGAAAGACGGUCUUGCUGUCACUUAUAGAUGGAUCCGCGCUGCAUUAGCUAGUUGGUAAGGUAACGGCUUACCAAGGCAACGAUGCAUAGCCGACCUGAGAGGGUGAUCGGCCACACUGGAACUGAGACACGGUCCAGACUCCUACGGGAGGCAGCAGUAGGGAAUCUUCCGCAAAGGGCGAAAGCCUGACGGAGCAACGCCGCGUGAGUGAUGAAGGUCUUCGGAUCGUAAAACUCUGUUUUUAGGGAAGAACAUAUGUGUAAGUAACUGUGCACAUCUUGACGGUACCUAAUCAGAAAGCCACGGCUAACUACGUG